UACGUAGGGCGCAAGCGUUAUCCGGAAUUAUUGGGCGUAAAGAGCUCGUAGGCGGUUUGUCGCGUCUGCCGUGAAAGGCCGGGGCUCAACUCCGGAUCUGCGGUGGGUACGGGCAGACUAGAGUGAUGUAGGGGAGACUGGAAUUCCUGGUGUAGCGGUGAAAUGCGCAGAUAUCAGGAGGAACACCAGUGGCGAAGGCGGUGCUCUGGGCCGGAACUGACGCUGAUGAGCGAAAGCGUGGGGAGCAAACAGG
rnacentral:rRNA from 1 species